rnacentral:rRNA from 1 species
GAUGAACGCUGGCGGCGUGCUUAACACAUGCAAGUCGAACGAAGCAAUUCCACGGAAGCCUUCGGGUGGAAGCGAAAUUGACUGAGUGGCGGACGGGUGAGUAACGCGUGGGUAACCUGCCUCAUACAGGGGGAUAACAGUCAGAAAUGGCUGCUAAUACCGCAUAAGCGCACAGGACCGCAUGGUCUGGUGUGAAAAACUCCGGUAGUAUGAGAUGGACCCGCGUCUGAUUAGCUAGUUGGUAAGGUAACGGCUUACCAAGGCGACGAUCAGUAGCCGGCCUGAGAGGGCGACCGGCCACAUUGGGACUGAGACACGGCCCAAACUCCUACGGGAGGCAGCAGUGGGGAAUAUUGCACAAUGGGGGAAACCCUGAUGCAGCGACGCCGCGUGAAGGAAGAAGUAUUUCGGUACGUAAACUUCUAUCAGCAAGGAAGAAAAUGACGGUACUUGACUAAGAAGCUCCGGCUAACUACGUGCCAGCCGCCGCCGUAAGAC